rnacentral:rRNA from 1 species
CGAUACAGGGUGACAGCCCCGUACACAAAAAUGCACAUGCUGUGAGCUCGAUGAGUAGGGCGGGACACGUGGUAUCCUGUCUGAAUAUGGGGGGACCAUCCUCCAAGGCUAAAUACUCCUGACUGACCGAUAGUGAACCAGUACCGUGAGGGAAAGGCGAAAAGAACCCCGGCGAGGGGAGUGAAAAAGAACCUGAAACCGUGUACGUACAAGCAGUGGGAGCACGCUUAGGCGUGUGACUGCGUACCUUUUGUAUAAUGGGUCAGCGACUUAUAUUCUGUAGCAAGGUUAACCGAAUAGGGGAGCCGAAGGGAAACCGAGUCUUAACUGGGCGUUAAGUUGCAGGGUAUAGACCCGAAACCCGGUGAUCUAGCCAUGGGCAGGUUGAAGGUUGGGUAACACUAACUGGAGGACCGAACCGACUAAUGUUGAAAAAUUAGCGGAUGACUUGUGGCUGGGGGUGAAAGGCCAAUCAAACCGGGAGAUAGCUGGUUCUCCCCGAAAGCUAUUUAGGUAGCGCCUCGUGAAUUCAUCUCCGGGGGUAGAGCACUGUUUCGGCAAGGGGGUCAUCCCGA